rnacentral:rRNA from 1 species
AAAUUGGUCUUCUUGGGGGUUGGCGAGGGGAAGGGGAAUUCCCCGUUUUUGGGGUGGAAUGCGGGGGGAGGGGGGGGAACGCCAAAGGGGAGGGGGGUGCCUGUUCUGGAAUUGACAGUGUGGCGCGACGGCGUGGGGAGCAAACAGGACUAGAUGCCUCGGUAGUCCACGCCGUAAACGAUGAGUGCUCGGUGGUGGAGGAGGAUAUCAGUGCCGCAGUUAACGCGAUAAGUAGUCCGGUGGGGGAGUGUGCGGGCAAGCGUGAGACUCCAAGGAACAGACGGGGACCCGCACCAGCGGUGGAGUAUGUGGUUUAAUUGGAUGCAACGCGAGAGAACCGUACUGGGUGUUGGCAGUGAGUUGAAAAGCAAAGAGAUAGGUAAUAGUUAUAGAUAUACAGGUGGUGCAUGGUCGUCGUCAGCUUGUGUCGUGAGAGGUGGGGGGAAGUCCGGCGGCGAGCGCAACCCCUCUCGUUAGUGACCAUCACUCAGUUGGGGCCUGUAAAGAGACGGGCGGGGAUAAACCGGAGGAAGGUGGGGGUGAGGUGGAAUCAUCCUGCCCCGGGCGAUCAGGGCUGCACAGGUAGCACAAGGGCAUAGACAAAGGGCAGCUGCACACCGAUGCGAUGCGAAUAUCAUAAAGUAUGUCUCAGUUCGGAUAGGAGUUUGCAACUCGACUCCAAGAAGCAGGAAUCGGUAGUAAUCGUGGAUCAGAAUGCCACGGUGAAUACGUUCUCGGGUCUUGUACUCACCGCCCGUCAA